UGAGCAGCCAUGCGAGUAUAUUGGAGACUCCAGGCGAUGGUAGGGUCAGUGAACCGAAGCGCUUUGUACUCCUUAACGCUGCCAGCGUUUUCUCUCAAAUGAUUCUACUUUUUGUGCAGGAGAAAAUCCAACACAAUAUGUCUGGACUUUGUGCCCCAAUACCACAGACAUUUUAUUUCUUGAUAAAUCAAAUCAUACCAUUAUACGCUAACACUUCCACACAAAUUCGGUACAUUGCUGGUUGUAACAUAAA